rnacentral:rRNA from 1 species
AGUGAACGCUGGCGGUAGGCCUAACACAUGCAAGUCGAACGGCAGCACAGGAGAGCUUGCUCUCUGGGUGGCGAGUGGCGGACGGGUGAGGAAUACAUCGGAAUCUACUCUGUCGUGGGGGAUAACGUAGGGAAACUUACGCUAAUACCGCAUACGACCUACGGGUGAAAGCAGGGGACCUUCGGGCCUUGCGCGAUUGAAUGAGCCGAUGUCGGAUUAGCUAGUUGGCGGGGUAAAGGCCCACCAAGGCGACGAUCCGUAGCUGGGCUGAGAGGAGGAUCAGCAACACUAGAGCUGAGACACGGUCCAGACUCCUACGGGAGGCAGCAGUGGGGAAUAUUGGACAAUGGGCGCAAGCCUGAUCCAGCCAUACCGCGUGGGUGAAGAAGGCCUUCGGGUUGUAAAGCCCUUUUGUUGGGAAAGAAAUCCAGCCGGCUAAUACCUGGUUGGGAUGACGGUACCCAAAGAAUAAGCACCGGCUAACUUCGUGCCAGCCGCCGCGGUAA